rnacentral:lncRNA from 1 species
AACCAGGUGAGGAGAGUUCCUUACUGAGACCUAGACAACCAGGUGAGGGGAGUUCCUUACUGAGACCUAGACAACCAGGUGAGGAGAGUUCCUUACUGAGACCUAGACGACCAGGUGAGGAGAGUUCCUUACUGAGACCUAGACGACCAGGUGAGGAGAGUUCCUUACUGAGACCUGGACAACCAGGUGAGGAGAGUUCCUUACUGAGACCUAGACAACCAGGUGAGGGGAGACCUAGACAACCAGGUGAGGAGAGUUCCUUACUGACACCUAGACAACCAGGUGAGGGGAGUUCCUUACUGAGACCUGGACAACCAGGUGAGGAGAGUUCCUUACUGAGCCCUAGACAACCAGGUGAGGGGAGUUCCUUACUGAGACCUAGACAACCAGGUGAGGAGAGACCUAGACAACCAGGUGAGGGGAGACCUUUUACACGUGUCAAGUAGUAUCUGGUCCUAUCAUCAUCAUCAUCAUCAUCAUCAUCUCAUAAACAGUAGCCCUGAUCUGAGCAGGUUUAUUUAUACCACAUUUUUUCAGAUCAAGGGAUAGUUCAAUCAAAUUACAAAAAACGUACACCUUAGUUUCCUCACCCUGUAUAAAAUCCCCCAAAAUGUUCAGCAGUGAAGUUCUCAAGAUGGACUUUCAGUACAGCGGUGUUCCCCAAUCCUGGUCCCAAGGGAUGCACACUGUUGUUUUUUUGCCUCAGCACUCACAUACCUUAUUCAAUUCAAAGGUCCUUUUGAUCCCCUGGACCAGGAAACACUGCAGUAUAGAGCCAAUGAGAGGGAUGAUGCUAAUGAUAUGAUAAUAAUUAUAAUAAUGUUUCUCAUUUGUGUCAUCAUCACUGUUUGCUCUGUACUGAAAGUGCUCCAUCUUGAAAACUUGAUUUGCUAACAUGCACGAUUGUUGGGAUUAUAUUAACAAUGGACUAAAUAAACAAAAUACUACAAUAAAUAUUUUGAUAAACAUCCCAUUCAUAGCAGCUACCACUCCAUUCAGGAAAGCUGUGUCGAGUAACUUUUGCUCCAUCGCCUCCACAUCCUGCACAGUAUUCACAGGGAAACAGCACCCGUCGUAUUCACAGGGAAACAGCACCCGUCGUAUUCACAGGGAAACAGCACCCGUCGUAUUCACAGGGAAACAGCACCCGUCGUAUUCACAGGGAAACAGCACCCGUCGUAUUCACAGGGAAACAGCGCCCGUCGUAUUCACAGGGAAACAGCACCCGUCGUAUUCACAGGGAAACAGCACCCGUCGUAUUCACAGGGAAACAGCACCCGUCGUAUUCACAGGGAAACAGCACCCGUCGUAUUCACAGGGAGACAGCACCCGUCGUAUUCACAGGGAGACAGCACCCGUCGUAUUCACAGGGAGACAGCACCCGUCGUAUUCACAGGGAAACAGCACCCGUCGUAUUCACAGGGAGACAGCACCCGUCGUAUUCACAGGGAAACAGCGCCCGUCGUAUUCACAGGGAAACAGCACCCGUCGUAUUCACAGGGAGACAGCGCCGUCGGGUUGUGCUGCUGUCACGGUGGUACCACUGUGAGGUCCUGACUCCUCUUCCUCCAUGUCUGAGUCAGUCUGAGAUCAGAAGUCUCUUCUGCCUUUUUA